rnacentral:lncRNA from 1 species
AGGGUGUGCUAGAAGGAGUCCAUUGAAUUGCACACAGGACAUCUUUCAGAAUUUUAUAGGGCUUAAGUUGCCGGAUACAUCCCUUUCCUGGUAUGAUACAAGCAUGAGUCUAGUAGAAUGCAAGGACAAGUGUCUAAAAAACUGCAAUUGCACGGCAUAUGCAAAUUCAAAUAUCACAGGAGAAGGCAGUGGCUGCAUACUCUGGUUUGGUGAAUUGGUUGAUAUGAGAGAGUUUAGUUAUGGGGGCCAAGACCUCUACAUAAGGAUGCCACCACCUUUGAAAACAGGUAUUUUUCAAUAUUCUUCCCAUGAUUCUCAAGCAGGUUAUUUUUUUUCACUCUUUCCCUCUGUUUCUUUUUUUUUUUUUUUUGAAAUGAAGAAGUUGUAUGUUCCUUAAAUGGUUUCCUAACUUCGUGUCCUCAUUUCCUCAUUCUAUUUACAAAUAAAACAGAACUCCUUUCUCUGUUUAUUGUGGGUUUUCAGAUCAGACGACGUCAAACACAAAUUCUGGUAAGAAGAAGCUUUUAGGAAUCAUACUCGGUUCCACACUCCUUGCUGGAGUGCUUAUGGUAGGACUAACCUUCUAUAUAUGGAGAAAGAAGCAGAGAAAGCAAGGUAGUGUACUUUGGACAAUUCUUCUUAUUCCAGAACAUGGACCUUGUUGAUAUAUAUAGUAUGCAUGGUAGAUUACUACUAUUGUAGAAUUUUAUGUUAGUCAUCGAUAACAAAAUGAAGAAUUUGUUAGAUCAUGCUGUUAGUCAAUUAGCUUUGAUAAGGAGAAGCUGUUCGUUUAUCAUUGCUGACAACUGAUCAAUCUUCUGCUAUUCAGAAAUAGAGGAAGACAUGGAGUUACCAUCGUUUCAUUUGGCCACCAUAGUGAAAGCAACGGAUAACUUUUCAAGCAACAACAAGUUGGGACAAGGUGGUUUUGGACCGGUAUAUAAGGUAUAUAACAACGUGCUUCAAAGCAGAGUGAUCAUCUACUAUGAGAUAUUCUAACUUCAGUAAAUAACAAUUCCCAGGGUACAUUGAUUGAUGGGCAAGAAAUAGCAGUGAAAAGACUUUCAAAAAGUUCUCGGCAAGGAUUGACAGAGUUCAAGAAUGAAGUUAUCUUGAUAGCUAAGCUUCAGCACAGAAAUCUUGUUAAACUUCUUGGCUGUUGCAUUCAAGGAGAUGAAGUAAUGUUGAUCUAUGAAUUCAUGCCCAACAAAAGCUUAGAUUGUUUUAUUUUCGGUUUGUACCCCAAGAACUGGUUAGAGUUUCUUGCAGUUAGAUUGCUUGUUCUAUGAUGUUUCAUUUAUACAUCAGAAUAACAUAACAUUAUGAUAAAUUGAUUAGAUCAAACAAGAAACAAAUUCCUGGACUGGCAGAGACGUAACCUCAUUAUCGGUGGCAUUGCUAGAGGACUACUUUAUCUUCAUCAAGACUCUAGACUAAGGAUUAUCCAUAGAGAUCUCAAAGCCAGCAACAUAUUAUUAGAUAAGGAUAUGAACCCCAAAAUUUCAGAUUUCGGAAUGGCUAGACUGUUUGGAGGAGAUCAAAUUGAAGCAGACACAAAUAAAGUGGUCGGAACAUAGUAAGUACACUCUACACCUAUUUUGUUACAAUGUAUAAUCUCCUCACAUUUAAACUUUUUCUGAUAAUGUUUUUCCGCAGUGGAUACAUGUCCCCUGAGUACGUUGUUGAUGGGCGUUUCUCACUGAAAUCCGACGUCUUCAGCUUCGGUGUUUUAGUCUUGGAGAUAAUAAGUGGGAAGAAAAAUAGAGGAUUCUCCCACCCGGAUCACUACCAUAAUCUUCUUGGACAUGUAAGGAUAAAAUUAAACAUGUUAAUUUAAUUAUGUAUUGACAAUUUUUAUCAUAACAAGUUUUUGUUUUCAAGGCAUGGAAACUGUGGACGGAAGAGAGGGCAUUGGAGCUUCUUGACAAUAUGUCAGAUCGCCCGUAUUCUGUAUCUGAAGUAUUGAGAUGCAUUCAUGUGGGUCUGCUAUGCGUGCAACAAAAGCCGGAAGACAGACCAAAUAUGUCAUCUGUGGUUUUGAUGUUGGGCAGUGAGAAUUCAUUGCCUGACCCAAAGCAACCUGGUUUUUUCACGGAAAGGAAUAUGCCCGCAGUGGACUCUUCAUCAGGAAAUCAUGAAUCAUCGUCUAUAAAUGACCUAACUAUUUCAGAGCUAGAUGCACGGUAGAAGAUUGGCUCUGAUGGUUAAAAGGAAGAGCUAUAUAUAUAUAUAUAUAUGUAUGUAUAUUCUAGCCAAAUCCAAGGCAUAUAACAGAAAUUAAAUAUUUUCUGCUAUAAUUAUGUUGAUGUAUUAUUUUUACCUGUCUACAAGUCCUCUGCAAGUACUAGUGCGAAUACAGAUAGACAGAAUGCUUGAGGAUUCACAUCUCUGGACUGCACAAUAUCUGUACUUGUUUGCUUCGAGCCGUCGAAUUUAAUGCACGGAUCUGGGUUCAAGAUCUAUAUAUGCUAGAGCCUCACUGGCUUCUAACCCAAAAAGAAUCCAUUAGAAUUGUCAAUAUAUAAUUAGUAAAAAAAAAUUACAUACAAUUUAAACAAUCCAAAUUUAUAAUUCAAAUUUACAUUAUAUUUUUCAUAACAUGUUAAAAAAAUAUAUUUUUAACAACCAUACAAGGAGCUAUAGUCUUUCCUUGAUUGAUUUCAUAGCACCUUAAACUUAGCCUUGACCUAACCCUUUUAGGGAUAAAUAUUAUAGGUACGAGUACCUUGAUGAUACUUAGCCUUUGUAGGGGAAUCCGACCGGUGAUGUUUUGAUAUUUGCUCAUAGUAGGCUAAGCACACUAACACAAUAUUUAACGUGGUUCGACAAACCGCCUACAUCCACGGGAGAAACCAUUUGAUUAUAUAGGGAGAGAACAAGAUUUACAACAGUAGAGGAGGAGGAAUCAUCCCCUCUUUGGCAACUCUCAACCUCACUCUAUUUUUCUCUUCUCAAUGCUGCAUUGGCAGCUACUGCUGGCUGCCUUGGCAGCCCACUCUCUCUUACAUUUCUCUCAUAUUUGGCUCUACUUUCACUCUCAUUUUGCUCUCUAAAAUCAUGCCUCUUUUAUAGGCAUCAAUGGCAGCUCCUCUUGCUCCUUUGUCAGCAAUGGUGGCUUCCAAACUUACCAAACUUUGACAAUAGACAAUGGUUGUUGGCUGCCACCAACAACCCACCAUUAUAGCCUCAUUCUUUGACUCUCACAUAGCAGUCAUCUUCUUUGACAUAGGCAGCCACAUAAUUGGCAAUAUUCCAACAAUCACCCCCUUUGCCAUUUAUGUGGGGCAACUAUCCUCUUGCUUCUUCAGCACAUGCUUGCAUCUUGCAGCUUUUCCAAGCUUACCAUUCAACCAGAUGGUUUGUCACAUCUCAUCUGAAGAGUGUUUAAUGCUUGUCUCUGGAACAACAUUCCCCUUCAAGCAUAUCAACCAUGCUUGGCCUGGAAUGAUUUAUCAAGCCUUACAUCAAGGCUUACAACACCCCCUCAAACUGAUAUUCCCAAGUGCGAUAGUCAUUGAGUAUUUUAAUGUGAUCACGAGCUCACCACUCUUCCAAGAGCCUACUCAUCCAGGAGUUGCGUCUGCCCUCUAUUCCACCCUAGGAACCACGCCUUACUUCUCCGUGAGUCUCUCACUCUUAGUCUCAAGAGUCCGGGUAGCAUCCACCUUUACUUAUGGGGGCAGCCCAUUAAAGGUUGAUCCAUAUCUAUCUUCAUACUCUGAGUAUUACAAUGCUUUCACCGAGCUCACCACCUUGACAAGAGUCAACUUGUUCCCGGAACCUGCGCAUGCCCUCUGCUCCUUCAUAGCAGUCGCGUCUUAAUGCUCCACAAGUCACCCACUUAUUGUCCAAGGUAAAUGUCUUCUAGCUCAUUGAUCUUUAGCAUGGGGGCAAUAUCCAUGAAAGUCAAUCCUGCAUUUGUCUUCAUACUCAUCAUAGACUCUUCAUUGGCUAUACACUUGUCCACUUAUAUCCAGCCAUCAUAUUGGCUCUAGGGCUGGGCUCUUUUCAUGGCCCUCACACCUUCUCGUGAGGUGUCUCCGCUCGUCGUCAUGCGAUAGUCUGAAUCUGGGCUAAUAUUAUAGCCCUCACACCGUCCAUCCGAGGUGUCUCCGUUCAUCGUCAUGCGGCUUCAUGUCCCUCACACCUUCUCCGAAGGUGUCUUCGCCCGUUGUCAUGGGGCAGUCUGAUCUUGGGCUCAUAUCAUGGCCCUCACACCUUCUGUCUGAGGUGUCUCCGCCUAUCGUUAUGAGACGGCCUGAACAUGGACUCAUAUCAAGGUCCUCACACCUUCUGUCCAAGGUAUCUCCGCCUGUCGUCAUGAGACGGUCUGAACAUGGACCCAUAUCAUGGUCCUAACACCUUUCGUCUGAGGUGUCUCCGCCUGUUGUCAUGAGACGGUCUGAAUCUGGGCUCAUAUUAUAGCCCUCACACCUUCCAUCCGAAGUGUCUCCGCUCAUCGUGGAGCGGUCUGAAUCUAGGUUCAUAUCAUGGCCCACAAACCUUCCUCUAAGGUGUCUCUGCCCGUUGUCAUGGGACAGUCUGAUCUUGGACCCAUAUCAUGGUCCUCACACCUUCUGUCUAAGGUGUCUCUGCCUGUUGUCAUGAGACGGCCACAUCCUCCUUCAUCGGGGAUGUCUCUAGUGGCUCUAAGAUUCUCUACCACCAUGUGGACUUGGGAGAGAUUACUGCCACUGAUUACAUAGAAAGAUAAAGUUGUGGCAUACUCCUCGCAAUCCUCCACCUCGAUUUCUAUGUCUGGAGCUUCUACGCCUUUCUACUUGAUAGCUCCACCUACACCACUCUCUUUAGUGUCUUCGCCUUUCAUCAUAGGCGGUCACCUUUGUCACAGGCGUUUGCACCCCCUCAAUUAGGUGCCUCUGCAACAGCUCAUCUUUCCAUCAUUGCAUGCAUUGGAAAGGUCCUCGCUUGUUGCCUUCAUCAAGAGCACAAGAGAUUUCUUGUUGUAUAACUUUUUCACACCGUCUCUACUCUAAGCUUCAUCUGGGAACUCUUAUUCUCCUUGCACCUACUGUCUCAUUACAGUACCUCGUUGGAUCCUACGGGUACUCCUGCACAAUCUCCGUGUGCUCUCGUGCAAUUCCGGUUCUCUAGAUUUCUCCCUAUUUUUUGCUUUUAUGUUUGACAACAGCUCAUCCUGUCACAACAUUUAUCCAAGUCAAAAUAGGGUGCCAAUCUUUAUCCCCUUGUUGUAUUUCUCUUCCAUUAUCAGGGUCUUCAUUAAUUCUCCCUUCGAGAAAUUACAGUCACCGAAUCUAACUUCUUUGGAGAAAUCACCACUCCAUUAGAUCCUUGAACAUACGGAACCCAACUGUUCCUUUAUGUCGUCAUCUUGCUAGUCUUCAACAGUUUCAUUACAAACUGUUACAUAUACAAAAAUAGUACUGUGUGGAUGAUCCUUCAACUAAGCAAGUUCCCAGGAAAGAUUUGGAGGGGUCACACUGGUCCCGUGAUUAGUACUUAAAAGUGCAUGUUUAUCAAGGUUUUAUAUCAUCAUUUUGCACUUGAAGUAUCAAUAACUCCUUAACUAAAGCAUGUUUUAUAAUAACAAGUUUGAUACUAUAAGAUACCUUAAUUUAUGGUAAAUGCUCAUCUUAUAUGCAGGCCUAUCACAUAAAUAAAAUGAUUGAUUGAUGAGUUUAAGUAUUGAAAGUGAAAGGACAAAGAGAUGGCCAAACUUAGAAAAGAGAUGUCGGUGCAGUCCAAACCAGAACAUUGCUCGGUAAUUGGAUCAUAUUUGGAGCUCUAGAUCUCAGAUUUAGGUCCAUUUUAUAUGGAUGGAAAGGUAAUACAAAGGCCUACAACUUUCAUGAGGAGCCUAAGAUUUAAAAAGGUCGUUUUGAAGUCCAAAUUGAAGGAACAACGAAGAAGUCCGAAGCUGUCCUGCAGCCCAGACACUAUUUAGUGUUCAACCCAUAUCUUGAGUUCUAGAAGUCCAAAUGACCUCAUCUUUUUUUUUUUGGAAAGCUGAGACAAUUUCCUAGAACAUUCCUGAGGAUUCUGGGCAAAUUAUUAUGUUAGAAAUGACGUUUUGUUCAGACAAGAAGAUAAGGAUUGUCACCAAGUCAAGAUGUGGCCACCCACUCAUCAAUUAGUCAACAAAUCAAUAGUUCUAAAUUUUGGCCUAUAAAAGGAGGCACUUACCAUGUAUUGAGGCAUCUUGGUUUCCAGAUCAAGAUCAUGCUCUUGCUUUCUCUCUUUGUAUUGCUUAUGUCUUGCUUUCAUUAAUAUCAAGUUUAUGCACUUCAUUUUCUUUCCUUUACUUAGUUAACUUCUUUCUCAUUUAUGUUCUUAUCUUGUUCAUUUAUGUUUCUUUCUUUCAUUAUGUUCAGCUAAGUUAAUUAUGUCAAGGUGAAAAGGGUACACUAAUGGUGUAAGAAUAAGUAUAAUAUAAACUUAACAUGGACCUUAACGUUGGAUACUAACAUGUUUUAUAUUUGUUAUCUUGUUCACUUUUAAUACUUUGCUUGUUAAAUGGUUAAUCUAGAUUUAUGUUAUAUAACAUUUGGUACAACAAAUACUUGGUACUUUCAUAGCCCAUACUGUAUGGUAUAACCGACACCUGAGCUAUAAAAGGAACUUGAUUUGUUGUUAACAUAAGUUAUAAUCAUGAAUGCCUGCCAACAUUUACAAGUAUUAGCUUUAUUCGAAUAAGAUAACUAAUGUAAUCAUGUUAACAAUUUAUAAUCUGAUUGGAACCUCCUUUAUGUGUGGUUUCCAAUUGAGUAAUAAGAGUUUAUACUAUACUUGUUUGAAAUACCAUUAGUGGAUCCUCUAACCUUGACAUUUGUUGUUGUUAUUGUUUAAUCCUUACGUUAAUCUUUCAUCUCAAAGUUCUCAUUAAUUUCUUCAUCUUCUGCUUUUAUUAUUAUUAUUAUUAUUAUUAUUAUUAUUAUUAUUUACAUUCUGUUUAUAUUAUAUAAUAUAUAUCUUUGAUCUUUUCAUAAACUCAGUAUAUAGGCUGGAAACCUGUGACCCGAUCUUUUAGAUUAUUCUCAGGUAUAACAACGCCACGUACUAAGUAUUAUAAUUAUUAUUGUUGUUAUUAUUGUUGUUGUUGUUAUUGUUGUUGUAUUGUUAUUUAUAAUUUAUACAAUUAAUCUCUAUGUGGUUCGACCCCGGUUUUGCCGGGUUAUUUAUUACUUCGACACUCCUGCACUUGGGAAAAGACAUCAAGCUUUAGGUCGUGUCAAGUUUUUGGCGCCGUUGCCGGGGAGGUAAAUUCUUGUAUAAAUUAUAAUUUUUAUUUCUUUUUAUUUUUUUCAUUUUAUUUAAUUUUGUUUCUUUUCUUUUCUUGCUUUUAUUCUCUUUUUACACGUGCAUGAGAGUUUGGUCACGUAUAUUAAGUGGUCGACUUUGUAGGGUAUCCUCAUCAUUUUUAGAAAAUAUGGCUGAAGAAGAUAAUCAAUCGCUUCAUAAUGAGAAUAAUGAGAAUAACCGUAUGAGAACACUUAGAAAUCACAUGAAUCCCACAAGAACAAGUGCACCCUCAUGCAUAGUUUUCCCUUUCCUUUCCUGGUAUGAUACAAGCAUGAGGCUAGUAGAAUGCAAGGACAAGUGUCUAAAAAACUACAAUUGCACGGCAUAUGCAAAUUCAAAUAUCACAGGAGAAGGCAGUGGCUGCAUACUCUGGUUCGGUGAAUUGGCUGAUAUGAGAGAGUUUAGUUAUGGGGGCCAAGACCUCUACAUAAGGAUGCCACCACCUUUGAAAACAG